CUGCCUCUGAGUGCUGGGAUUAAAGGCAUGUGCCACCCUGGUCCAGCUUGAUAGGUUGGUUGUUUUGUCAAGUUGCUUCAGAGACAAUUUCAAAAACAACUUUUGCACUAAAAUGACAUGGUGUUCCAGGUGAUGCUUCAUCAUUGAACUUAUAAAAGCAUAAUAUUUUUAAUGCAAUUUUCAAAUUAUUCAAAGUACUGAUUUUCUAGUUUAUUACCCUUUAAGCUACACAAUUUGACUCCUUCUUCUAGAGACACCACACAGACAGCCAAGGAAACCAAUGAGUAUCUGACUGAGCCCGAACAGGAGCUCAAGGAUUCCAACAAGCAGGAGACCGAGAAAUACUGAGAAGUGGAAAAUCCUAUGUCUGUCUUCUUCAGAGUUAGAGUUUGGUAUGCUCCAGUUAUUGAUGAUGUCACUGAUGCUGGAGUUUUUUAAACCAGUAGGAGAAACACAAGAGUCUUGGAAGAACCACUGCAGACUGAAGGAUUCAGGAUGGAAGUCACUGGGGGGAAAAAGAGAAGGACUAAAUGUGCCUGUUAACAAAAUGAAAGCCCCAGCAUGGUAAGACCCAGUGUACAGUUUUAAAGAUUGUGUUCAGAAACCGUAGCUAAGAUCUGGUUUUCUGAGCACAUAAGCAUAGCCCUGAUCUUAAAACCCUUACUCAUCACACAUUGUAUCAUUCUCCAUAGAACACCUAAUCUUAAGGUGAACUACAUAAGAUGCAUGCUCUCCCAUGUCAGGAUGAAGAUAAAGAUCAACUAUGUCAGCAUGCUCUUUUUCUCGAUGCCAAGGACAUUGUUGUUGCUGGGAUGGCCUGUAAAGAACGUCACAAGAAUGAUGAGUACUCUUUCUUCUCACCAGACGCAAACCCAGUCAUCACCACCUUCCAUUUACUACCCUUUGGAGAAGUUCAGGGUUCAGGAGAGCAAAAUCUUCUUGAUUUCAGGAGAGGGAAUCUGUCAGUGUCCAUGUGUCGUGAACCUUAUCCCCGGUUUCAACCAUAAGGAUUGAAAGGGUACAGAGAAGGCCAGCCCUGCUCAACUCUGAGGGAACCUUCUGGAAGACUGGAUGUGGGCUUGAUGCUUGGCUGUUGUUCACACUGCUCAGCCUGGAACCUGGCACAGCAGUUUGAAGAGGAAGCCCAGAUUUUAUGAAAAGCUUUUCCUGUGCCUGUGUCUACCUGAAACAGAUGGCUGGAUCACUCCUGUUGGCAGAGGAAAAGAAACCAUCAGCCUGUGGGGAAGAUUUUUUUGAAUGGCUUUGCCAUGCCAGAUAGGUUCAAAGGGCACCAUUUUUCUUGUU